AUUGAACGCUGGCGGCAUGCCUUACACAUGCAAGUCGAACGGUAACAGGCCGCAAGGUGCUGACGAGUGGCGAACGGGUGAGUAAUACAUCGGAACGUGCCCGAUCGUGGGGGAUAACGCAGCGAAAGCUGUGCUAAUACCGCAUACGAUCUACGGAUGAAAGCGGGGGAUCGCAAGACCUCGCGCGGACGGAGCGGCCGAUGGCAGAUUAGGUAGUUGGUGGGGUAAAGGCCUACCAAGCCGACGAUCUGUAGCUGGUCUGAGAGGACGACCAGCCACACUGGGACUGAGACACGGCCCAGACUCCUACGGGAGGCAGCAGUGGGGAAUUUUGGACAAUGGGCGCAAGCCUGAUCCAGCCAUGCCGCGUGCAGGAUGAAGGCCUUCGGGUUGUAAACUGCUUUUGUACGGAACGAAAAGGUUUCUUUUAAUACAGGGAACUGAUGACGGUACCGUAAGAAUAAGCACCGGCUAACUACGUGCCAGCCGCCGCCGUAAAAC
rnacentral:rRNA from 1 species